rnacentral:rRNA from 1 species
UACGGGGGGGCAAGCGUUGUUCGGAAUUACUGGGCGUAAAGGGCUCGUAGGUGGCCAACUAAGUCGGACGUGAAAUCCCUCGGCUUAACCGGGGAACUGCGUCUGAUACUGGAUGGCUUGAGUUCGGGAGAGGGAUGCGGAAUUCCAGGUGUAGCGGUGAAAUGCGUAGAUAUCUGGAGGAACACCGGUGGCGAAGGCGGCAUCCUGGACCGACACUGACGCUGAGGAGCGAAAGCCAGGGGAGCAAACGGG